UGAAAACUCAGCUCUCAACAUGUAUUUCCCUGCAAUCUGAUUCUGUGACUAAUUCACAUUUUAGAGAAAAGAGUAUUCAGUGCUCUAAACUUUCAGUAAGAUUCAUAACAUCUCUGAGAUUUCCCAGAACUUCUACAACAAAAUUAUGGGAGAGCACAUGUGGUAUUUCUGGAGGAGAGAGGCAGAGACAGAGGAAGAAAACAAUAGCGAAGACUUUGGCAGAAAAUAUUUGGCAUCAUAAAAUCACACAUUAAGAAGAAAUCUUACUUAGUAGCUCAUCUGAAAGAACAAUGUACUUGAGUUUGUAGAGGAAACAACUACUGCUUCAAAUAUGAGGAUCCUGACUGCUUCAAUAUGAGUCCCCCAACUCUUGCUUGCCUUACACACUAAUGCCCGGUGGAAGAAGAAUCUGUGCUACAGAUAGUUGCCACACCAGAAAUAAUUCAAAACUGCAAGAAAGAGAAAAAUUAAAAAUAACUGAAGCUCCCGACAAAUUGGCAGGCUGGGCUGUGUAAAUAAAAUGGCCAGCUAAUUGUAUUCCCUGGUGAAUCCAGUCCAAAUGGACCAGACGGGUUGAGUGCAUAAUAGAACACAUGCACCACAGUUUGAAAAUCUCUGGGAAUACUGAGCUGUCUUGUGCCACCCCUGAUGGAGCUGAAAUUGUA
rnacentral:lncRNA from 12 species